ACCCAAUCUUCAUUCUUAUUUCUUAAAACCCAGAGGUGUUCUUCACUUUUCAGGGGGAUUGAUUGAUGAUACUUGUUGAUUAAUCCACGAAGAAUACCAAUACAUGGAUAAGUAGAGGGUAAAUAAAGUAUAAAACUGUAAUUCCUCAUGGCAUUUUCAUUCACGCAUACGCGACAGUUCGUGAGCAGACGAACUAUUGAAAGUGCCUUCCGCAGUCUAGCUACAUCCAGCCAGAUACUAGUAGAACCCAAAACAUUGUUUUGAUAAGUACUGUCAUAUUUCUUUUACAGAUUUUCAUUAAAUACCAAGCUGAUCCUACGAGCUACGACAGUUUUACCUACAAAUGUUUAGCGUUUCAUGCUGCAACUAGUAGUUUAUAUUCUAGGAUGUUAUGCCUAAAAUUGGAAUUCAGCUAUCAGAGAUUAGCAAAAUUCAAGUUCAAACUCUAGAUGGCGUUGAUGUGCGGCUAUGAUGAAGAUUAUGAGUGACAAGUUAAACGGGUGUUUUUUACGUUAUCCUAUUAUGUGUUUCAAAGGAUUUUUCGUCAAAAAAUUUACGAUUGCUUUUUGUAUGUGGUGGUGUUUCACCUUGUCAGCUAUGCCAGCUGCGAACCAGCAGCCUGCAUUCUUGCUAUCAAUGUACCACAAGGGAUCCUGACACUUUAAGAAGGCCACUAUUCCUCACAUGUAGAUCACCAUCCAGUUUAAUAGACAAUGACAGAGUCUUCAUAUACUUUGUGUUGCUAACCAUCAACCCUCAGCAUCCCAAGUAUCCAGAUUUCCAAGUUUCUCUGAUUAGCCAACCAUCAUCCAUACCCAUCAGCUCUUCAUUGCCGCUACUCUUCCUCUCUUCUUAGUCUGCGGAAUGCCAACAUUGAAUAAGGUUCAUCAUCAUUGCCUUUCCAUGCCAGCUCAUAUGGAUAGGCUUUAAUAACAUCUCCAUUUUUUGGACUGCAAAUAUUCAUGUUCCUUCGGUACAAUACUGCGGUUUUGACAAUUUCGGUAGCUUCACCCCCAGUGGACCACACGCAACUACAUUUUUUUCGCCUUCAUCUCCGUCUCGUCGUCUUCGCCUUC
rnacentral:lncRNA from 1 species